CAGUAGCCGCGGGAAUACAGAGGGUGCAAGCGUUAAUCGGAAUUACUGGGCGUAAAGCGCGCGUAGGUGGUUUGUUAAGUUGGAUGUGAAAUCCCCGGGCUAAACCUGGGAACUGCAUCCAAAACUGGCAAGCUAGAGUAUGGUAGAGGGUGGUGGAAUUUCCUGUGUAGCGGUGAAAUGCGUAGAUAUAGGAAGGAACACCAGUGGCGAAGGCGACCACCUGGACUGAUACUGACACUGAGGUGCGAAAGCGUGGGGAGCAAACAGGAUUAGAUACCCGUGUAGUCCCUGUCUCUUAUAC
rnacentral:rRNA from 1 species